UACGUAGGGCGCAAGCGUUGUCCGGAAUUAUUGGGCGUAAAGAGCUCGUAGGCGGCUUGUCACGUCGGGGUGUGAAAGCCCGGGGCUUAACCCCGGGUCUGCAUUCGAUACGGGCUAGCUAGAGUGUGGUAGGGGAGAUCGGAAUUCCUGGUGUAGCGGUGAAAUGCGCAGAUAUCAGGAGGAACACCCGUGGCGAAAGCGGCUCUCUGGGACGGUACUGACGCUGAGACGCGAAAGCGUGGGGAGCGAACAGG
rnacentral:rRNA from 1 species